rnacentral:rRNA from 1 species
CAGUAGCCGCGGUAAUACGGAGGGGGCUAGCGUUGUUCGGAAUUACUGGGCGUAAAGCGCGCGCAGGUGGUUUAAUAAGUCUGAUGUGGAAGCCCACGGCUCAACCGUGGAGGGUCAUUGGAAACUGUUAAACUUGAGUGCAGGAGAGAAAAGUGGAAUUCCUAGUGUAGCGGUGAAAUGCGUAGAGAUUAGGAGGAACACCAGUGGCGAAGGCGGCUUUUUGGCCUGUAACUGACACUGAGGCGCGAAAGCGUGGGGAGCAAACAGGAUUAGAUACCGGGUAGUCCCUGUCUCUAUACAC